CGCUUUCUACAGGCUUAACACAUGCAAGUCGAGGGGCAGCAUGGUCUUAGCUUGCUAAGGCCGAUGGCGACCGGCGCACGGGUGAGUAACACGUAUCCAACCUGCCGUCUACUCUUGGACAGCCUUCUGAAAGGAAGAUUAAUACAAGAUGGCAUCAUGAGUCCGCAUGUUCACAUGAUUAAAGGUAUUCCGGUAGACGAUGGGGAUGCGUUCCAUUAGAUAGUAGGCGGGGUAACGGCCCACCUAGUCUUCGAUGGAUAGGGGUUCUGAGAGGAAGGUCCCCCACAUUGGAACUGAGACACGGUCCAAACUCCUACGGGAGGCAGCAGUGAGGAAUAUUGGUCAAUGGGCGAGAGCCUGAACCAGCCAAGUAGCGUGAAGGAUGACUGCCCUAUGGGUUGUAAACUUCUUUUAUAAAGGAAUAAAGUCGGGUAUGGAUACCCGUUUGCAUGUACUUUAUGAAUAAGGAUCGGCUAACUCCGUGCCAGCAGCCGCGGUAAUACGGAGGAUCCGAGCGUUAUCCGGAUUUAUUGGGUUUAAAGGGAGCGUAGAUGGAUGUUUAAGUCAGUUGUGAAAGUUUGCGGCUCAACCGUAAAAUUGCAGUUGAUACUGGAUAUCUUGAGUGCAGUUGAGGCAGGCGGAAUUCGUGGUGUAGCGGUGAAAUGCUUAGAUAUCACGAAGAACUCCGAUUGCGAAGGCAGCCUGCUAAGCUGCAACUGACAUUGAGGCUCGAAAGUGUGGGUAUCAAACAGGAUUAGAUACCCUGGUAGUCCACACGGUAAACGAUGAAUACUCGCUGUUUGCGAUAUACUGCAAGCGGCCAAGCGAAAGCGUUAAGUAUUCCACCUGGGGAGUACGCCGGCAACGGUGAAACUCAAAGGAAUUGACGGGGGCCCGCACAAGCGGAGGAACAUGUGGUUUAAUUCGAUGAUACGCGAGGAACCUUACCCGGGCUUAAAUUGCAGAUGAAUUACGGUGAAAGCCGUAAGCCGCAAGGCAUCUGUGAAGGUGCUGCAUGGUUGUCGUCAGCUCGUGCCGUGAGGUGUCGGCUUAAGUGCCAUAACGAGCGCAACCCUUGUUGUCAGUUACUAACAGGUUCCGCUGAGGACUCUGACAAGACUGCCAUCGUAAGAUGUGAGGAAGGUGGGGAUGACGUCAAAUCAGCACGGCCCUUACGUCCGGGGCUACACACGUGUUACAAUGGGGGGUACAGAGGGCCGCUACCACGCGAGUGGAUGCCAAUCCCCAAAACCUCUCUCAGUUCGGACUGGAGUCUGCAACCCGACUCCACGAAGCUGGAUUCGCUAGUAAUCGCGCAUCAGCCACGGCGCGGUGAAUACGUUCCCGGGCCUUGUACACACCGCCCGUCAAGCCAUGGGAGCCGGGGGUACCUGAAGUGCGUAACCGCGAGGAGCGCCCUAGGGUAAAACUGGUGACUGGGGCUAA
rnacentral:rRNA from 1 species